rnacentral:rRNA from 1 species
CAGCAGCCGCGGUAAUACGUAGGUGGCAAGCGUUGUCCGGAAUUAUUGGGCGUAAAGGGCUCGCAGGCGGUUUCUUAAGUCUGAUGUGAAAGCCCCCGGCUCAACCGGGGAGGGCCAUUGGAAACUGGGAAACUUGAGUGCAGAAGAGGAGAGUGGAAUUCCACGUGUAGCGGUGAAAUGCGUAGAGAUGUGGAGGAACACCAGUGGCGAAGGCGACUCUCUGGUCUGUAACUGACGCUGAGGAGCGAAAGCGUGGGGAGCGAACAGGAUUAGAUACCCCUGUAGUCCCUGUCUCUUAUAC